GACGAACGCUGGCGGCGUGCUUAACACAUGCAAGUCGAACGAAGAGCGAUGGAAGCUUGCUUCUAUCAAUCUUAGUGGCGAACGGGUGAGUAACGCGUAAUCAACCUGCCCUUCAGAGGGGGACAACAGUUGGAAACGACUGCUAAUACCGCAUACGAUCUAAUCUCGGCAUCGAGGAUAGAUGAAAGGUGGCCUCUACAUGUAAGCUAUCACUGAAGGAGGGGAUUGCGUCUGAUUAGCUAGUUGGAGGGGUAACGGCCCACCAAGGCGAUGAUCAGUAGCCGGUCUGAGAGGAUGAACGGCCACAUUGGGACUGAGACACGGCCCAGACUCCUACGGGAGGCAGCAGUGGGGAAUCUUCCGCAAUGGACGAAAGUCUGACGGAGCAACGCCGCGUGAGUGAUGACGGCCUUCGGGUUGUAAAGCUCUGUUAAUCGGGACGAAAGGCCUUCUUGCGAAUAGUAGAAAGGAUGACGGUACCCGAA
rnacentral:rRNA from 1 species